AUACGGAGGGUGCGAGCGUUAAUCGGAAUUACUGGGCGUAAAGCGCGCGUAGGCGGCUUAUUAAGUCAGAUGUGAAAUCCCCGGGCUCAACCUGGGAACUGCAUCUGAUACUGGUAAGCUAGAGUUUGGGAGAGGGAAGUAGAAUUUCAGGUGUAGCGGUGAAAUGCAUAGAGAUCUGAAGGAAUAGCAGUGGCGAAGGCGACUUCCUGGCCUAAAACUGACGCUGAGGUGCGAAAGCGUGGGUAGCAAACGGGAUUAGAUACCCCGGUAGUCC
rnacentral:rRNA from 1 species